GGCCUCCGCGGGCUCCAACCGCGCCUCCACCGUCCUGGGGCCCGCCCCGCCCCGCCGAGCCCGGCGGCGCUGCGGGGGAAGCACCGCCCUGUACGAGGGCUGAGCCUGGGGCUGAGCUGGGCCUAACCUGGGACAGAGCCUGAGGCUGAGCUGGGCCUAACCUGGGACAGAGCCUGAGGCUGCAGCGCCUGGGUUUUGGGGCGGCCGCAGGGCUUGGCUGGCGCCGUGUUCCCGCGGGGGAAUCGCCAGCCGCUCCCUCGGAGUUCAAGGACAAACAGCCAUUUUGUCUGCUGGACAGGGAUGUCGUAGGGGAGCGGUCGGGCUGAUUUUUUGGCAUUGCUUCGUAGCAGAAGGAGAAUGCUAAGUGAAAUUAGCUGUACAAAAUUGGUGUUUUAAAGCUAUUGAGCAAGAAACAAAAUUAACAUCAACAGCAGGUGGCAGUGCUAGCAAGAGCAGUGGUUCUGAUGUGAGUUGUCGGCUGGUGGUUUGUGUAGUUUCGGCUCUUCCGCAAAAGUAGAGAGUGCCAGGAUCCUGUGUGCGGAGAGGACAAGACCAGCUCCCACUGAUGACUGACCCCUGGAACACCCCUCAAGCAUUGUUGUAAGGUUCAAGUAGAAGCCUGCGGUAUGUUGGUGAAGUUCACCCACUGUGCUUCUUAGAAGAGAAAAUUAGUGAAAUUGGUAAAAAAAAUCAAAGAAGAAAACCUGUAAAGUUCCCAUGCUGUGACUGUGACACACUCUUUACACCUCACCUCCUAAUUCUCUGACACAGAGAUUGACUGGAACACAUUCCCAGCACAGCUCUACAAUAUGUCUCUGGCUUUCAACUCUCUCUGAAGAGAAUGUACCAGGUUACUGCACUGGCAGCCAGGUCUGGAUGUCUUGGAGAGAAAGCCAGGCUCAGAGAAGGUUGACUGAAGCUGGCCAAGUGCAAGCUGUUCUUCCGGAGAGUGCAAGUCUCCCAAGGGUUUUCUGACCUGCUUCUAAGAAAACUGCUUUCUAGAGGUAAAAUCAACCUUCUGGAAUCCCAGACCCUGAGACCAAAGGGAAAGUCUGGAGCCUAGAGUGGAAGAGGAGCAGGUUAAGGAGCACUUAAUAAAAACAAGCUAUGGGGUCUGAUGUGUAUAAGUAUAUCUGAUUUAUAUCUGAUGUAUAUAAGUCUAUGAGGUCUGAUUUUUUGCAUCCAGAAGUACUGAGGGAGAUGUCUGAUGUCAUUGCAAGGCCAGUCUCGAUUAUCUUUGAAAGAUCAUGGCAUUAGGGAGAGGUUCCUGAAGACUAGGAGACAGCCUCCCGUCUUCAGGAUGGGUAGGAAUGAGCAUCUGAGAAACUACAGGCCAGUCAGCCUCACCUCCAGUCAUUGGAACAGUGAUGAAGAAAAUUGCUCCUUAAACGAUUUGCAUGGUGAUAAUACUAAGGGAAAGCAAAGGAUACAGUGCUGUGAGGCACUCCUAAAAAGCAUGAUUGGUAUAAUUUAUUUCUACACCACCACCCCCUUCAGAGCCCUACAGGCAGUGGCCUUACUGAUUUUAAUUUGGAUGCUGUAGUAUCCUUUCUAGAAUAUUCUGGAGAAGGUGAUAUUGCUGCUUGAUUAAAACUUGAAGUGGCCCUGUUAAUUUUUAUCAUCCCUGAUGUGUUGUAGCUGUUCGUUCACAGGUCAAAGGGAAAAGUAUUUGACUGUGUUCUCAGCAGUAAACCUGUGUAGUAUCCUUAUUUCUGUGUUUUCUUCAGUCUUUCCGUGAUAAAUAUGUGUACAUCUUGCAAAACUUCUUCAGCUAUUGUUUUCUCGUCUGCUUUGUACUUCUGGCAGGCAACAUUUUUUUUUUGCUGUCUAAAGACAAGAACAUUUUUGCAUUCAGGGAACAUGGGGGGUAGAAAUCAAGCCUUUUAACAAGGUUUAUAUUAACCUAGGAUAAACAUGACUCUGAAGAUGUGGGUCUGACUUGAUGGUGACAAAUCCCUCUAGUUCCUCAUGCUUUUCUGGUAGAAGAAUUAGCAAUGAUAGUAGGUAUGACUACACUGUGAUUUAUGGUAUUCAUUGUUAUUUGCAUAAAGAGGGUCAAAACUGAAAUUUUGACCCUUUUGGCUGUCUUGUCACAUGUGUUUUAGAGAGGUGGUAAAAGAAUGGAGAGGGACAAAAUAUAAAGCAGGUGAUAUGUUCUUGAACUCUUGACUUUGAGCAGCUGCAUUUUAAAAGCUGUCAUUCCAUUUUGCUGGUAUGUCUGUGAGGCCUUUCCAUUAUGCGUGCAAACACAAUCUGAUUAGUAUUUUUUAUAAGCUUGUCUUGUCUGCUUUUAUUACAGACAUCACCUUCAGAUGUGGGGCCACCACAGCCAUUAAAUCAAGAAUAUUUAGCUAUUAUUUGUAAUAAAUGUCAGCAGGGCUGAAUUGAAGCCAGCAGGAAAUGUUCAGGGCAGAAAACACACUGACAUUCAUUCAUGCAAAUUUGUACCACUAGUAGAAUUAAUCAUAAAGAGGGAGGGUAGAACAUAAAUUGCAUUUAUAUUACUGUUUUGGCAAAUUGUGAUUCAUCAUGAAGAUGAGGGCUAUAAUGGAUAAGCAGCAGCCUAGUGACAUAGAGCCACAUGCAAAGUAUAGUUAGGUUGAGCAUAACUUCCAAGACAAGAUGUUUAAAAACUCUUUUUAUGUUACAAUGGUUCGAUGUAAAAGGGAAAUGAAAACUGCAUCUCCUCAAAUUUUAACAGGUAAUUUCAAUCAGAAUUUAAAAAAAAUAUUUAGGCAACUUUUUGGUAUUUUGUCUUUUCUCUCUCUUUUCACAAUGUGGACAGAUCUGUUCUGCAUACUAUUUGACCAGAAAACAAUAGCUCUAGAAAGUUUUUUGAAGGCAAAAUACGUCAGGCCUUUUUAACUUCAAUAUUGUAUACUCUAGGAAAUUUACUAAACAUAUCUAUUCAGAAUAUAGGGUGAGAAUUCUUGAAUUUUAAUAGGAACAGGGUUUUUUGACAGGUAUCUUUCUGCAGUAUGGAAAUGUUUUGCUAGAUUUUGGCUGGAGAUCACCACCAGGAUUUAUAUUGAUAUCCAGGAGGAUAUCUAGUGUCAGGAAGGUUAGAGGUCCAGAAGUUGCUGGGAGGACAGACCACCUUUUACUGAUUUUGAACCGUGUAGCCUACAGAGCUGCCAUGGACAGAAAUUGCUUCAGAAAUCCAGCUAUUUAGUACUAUUGGACUGAUGCAGACUAGGAAUUGAAUUCUGGUGACUAGUGAAUUCAGCUCUUAAAAGUUUUGCUGAUGACAACUAUAAACAAAGUGCUCCCUUCACCAGUACUAUUCUUUGCAAAUUCCAAUAGACAAAGCAAUAUUAAUUGCAAAUAUGUUAAAUACUUAGCAUUUGAAAAAUGUAUGAUGAUAUAUAUAUUUAGUAGUUGUAUUCCUUUUUAUUUGCUCCUAAAAAUGUACAGAGAAACUACUGUUAGAUUUGGUUGUCACUAGAUCAGGAUCUGAUGGACAGCUGACUAGUAAAUCACUACUUGACAGAAGUAAAAAACCAUUUUAAACCCAUUUAAAUGUAUCUCAGUGCAAUAUUUUUUGGAAAUUACCCACCUGAAUAAUCUGUAGAAAAACUGUAAUUACUGUUUUCUUGUAUAACAUGUAGUCCUUUGCAGCAAGCUGUAAGGAAUAUUAUAAUAUGAAUCUGUUAGUGAUAAAACUUAGAAAAGAAUUAAUAUUGUAUUUUGUUAUUCCUGAAAUGUGAAAAACCAGAGGAUGAAAGCAUAUAUUUUUUAUCUCCUUCUAUUAUCUUGACACAAAAAGAAGAGUUUAAAUCUGUUCUUGAAGAGAUUAAAAAAUAAACCAGAUGACUGGAGCUGACAUAAAAAUGUUAGGGGAAUUUAUAGACAAUAACUAUUCUUCGAUUAUUCAACAGUUCUUCAGUUGUAGAAUUUAAACAAUGAGUCAGAGAGAGCAUGAAACUGAAGUAUGACUCAUAAAAUUAAAAUAAAAAACUUUUGUAUAGUGAUCUCUGAGCCGAGUAUAAUUUUCAGAGUACUGAAUUUCCUGAAGUGCCAAGGAAUUAAAUGCAAAACAAAUAUUCCAAACCAAUAUUCCAUUCUCACUGUUUAUAAUUAUUGCAUGGAGUGCUGUCUUGCAGAGUGGGGGGACACGUAAACAAAAACACCUUUUUAAGUACCAGAAGGAGGCAGUGUUAAUUGUUUCCUUAGAGUUCUGCUUUUAGUUGCUGAAGUUGGGCAAAGGAGUUGAUUUCAUUGAGGGGAAAUGAAUGCUUCCUGUUAAGUGAAAUACAGCUGCUUGUCAAAUAAUUCAUUAAUUCACACAUCUUAGCUUGUACUGCUCAGCUGUCAUUAGCAUAUUGUGAUCACUGAAAGAAAUCAUAAUUAGAAGUCAUUGGUCUUUUUUUAGGGCAAAAUGUUUGAUUUUUGUCUUCCAUACCGUAAGUCUUAAUCAAUCUUAAGUUUGUUUGAAUCCUGACUACACUGUGCUUUAGGGAAAAAAAUUUUGUGGUAUAAAUAUACAGAACCAAGAGAGUUCAUGCUGAAGAAAUCUGGCUUUUUAUCUGUCCCAUGGUUUCAGGAUAUUCAGUAAGCUUUAAACAGCACUUUUUUUUUUUUUUUAACAUGAGAAAUCUGAUAAGCAGUGGUGUCAUAUUGAGCCUUGGUAAACCCACUAUUGCAAUACUUCAAUAAGUUCUGAUUUCUUCAUCUCAGGGAGGAAUGAGGAGAGAAGGAGCAAGCAAAGGCAGCUGAAAUGAUAAAAGGGAGAGGGAAGCUGCUUUAUGGGCAAUGACUAAAAAUGUUAGAAGUUCAGUUUGAAUAUGAGAAGACUAAGAAGUAUAUGAUUAAGAUUUAUAAAGUCUUCAAGGUGGAGCAUAAAGUGGAUUAUAUUCACUAGAUUACAUUAUAUUUUAAACAGGACCAUGUGCUCAAACUAGGAGGAGAAUGACUAGAAAGAUGGAUGUCAUCUAGGACAAAAAGGGACAAGAUAUAUUAAUGAACAAAAGCUCCAUAAAGAGAUUCUGAAGAAACAGGUUAGGGACACUUCUCUAACACCCAUAACAUUACGACCUUAGAUGUUGUGGGAGUAUGAGGGAAAUAGACUGCAUGUAACAGCCAGAUGCUUGUGCUUUCCUUGAAUAGCAACUUAUACUACAGCUAUUGGAGACAGAGUCUUAGGAUCUGAACCACUGAUCUGAAUAGGUAAGGUAUUUCUAGUGGUCUUAAAUGUUCUGUUUAGAGAAUCACUCAACAUAAUAUGUCUUGUGAAUUUUUUCACAAUCUCAAUAACAUUGAGUCAUAUAUAGCAAGGAGGCAGGAAUGAAUUAGCAAAGAAAUUAGUUAGCGCUUAGCUAAGCACAGGUGGUACUGUUUACGAAAUAAGUCUUCUAGUUAAAUUAGGCACUGGAAGCAAUUGAGAGUCAAUUCCUGAAUAAACUAAAAGCAAAUUCUGGCAUGUCCUAACUGUAUAUAUGAGUGUGUAUAUAUUUAAUUUUUUUAGACUUCUCUUUGCUUCCUGUUUCAGUAACAGUACUUUACACCAGUCAAAAGCUACCAAUGCUAUUAAAGAAGCGAAUUACAAAUACUUAUUCCAAAUACUACCAAAAAUCAUGAGUGAAGUUGUGUGCCCAAAGCAGUGUGAUUGGUUUAGAAAUCAUAAGCCUAAAAAAUAAUAUUUUCUUUCUGGUUAUUUUUUAAUUUUUGUUAUGUAUUAGCUUUCUUGGAAAUCCUGAGAAGUAGAAGAAUAUCCAAUUUUAAAAUAAAUGAAUAUAAACCUGAAAUUGUCGUACAGUUCUAAUAGAUGAACUUACAGAUAAAGUAUGACGUUUCUAAGAAUUCUGUCAGUAUAUAAUUUCGCUAGUGCGGUUGGCUCAUAUCUGUUCUAUAAUGUGUGGAUCUCUUGUACCCUGCAAUUAAAAAUGCCCCACCAGAUUUACCUUCUUGUUUCUGUCUUAUUUCCAUGAAAAUGUAGUUCUGUGU